rnacentral:misc_RNA from 1 species
CGAAAUGCGAUAAGUAAUGUGAAUUGCAGAAUUCAGUGAAUCAUCGAAUCUUUGAACGCACCUUGCGCUCCUUGGUAUUCCUUGGAGCAUGCCUGUUUGAGUAUCAUGAAAUUAUCAAAGCAAGUCUUUUGUUAACUCAAUCGACUCUUUUGCUUUGGACUUGGAGGUCUCUGCAGAUUUAACCUUUCUGCUCCUCUUAAAUUCAUUAGCUGGAUCUCAGUAUAUGCUCGGUUCCACUCGGCGUGAUAAGUAUCACUCGCUGAGGACACUUUUAUUUUUAAAGGUGGCCGGGAAAUACAGAUGAACCGCUUCUAAUGGUCUAUUAAAUUAGACAGUUAAUUUUAAGAUCUGAUCUCAAAUCAGGUAGGACUACCCGCUGAACUUAAGC